rnacentral:antisense_RNA from 1 species
ACUAAAAAUGCAAAAAAUUAGCUGGGCAUGGUGGCAGGCACUGUAAUCCCAG